UACGAAGGGGGCUAGCGUUGUUCGGAAUUACUGGGCGUAAAGCGCGCGCAGGCGGCUAUCCAAGUCAGUGGUGAAAGCCCGGAGCUCAACUCCGGAACUGCCAUUGAAACUGUUUAGCUUGAGGAUGAGGGAGGUGAGUGGAAUUCCCAGUGUAGAGGUGAAAUUCGUAGAUAUUGGGAAGAACACCGGUGGCGAAGGCGGCGACCUGGUCCUUGACUGACGCUGAGGCGCGAAAGCGUGGGGAGCAAACAGG
rnacentral:rRNA from 1 species